CUCAGCUGGACAUUGGGAAGAGCUGGUUGAUGCUGUGCUGUAUGGCAGCUAUUCUGGAAAUUCCUACUAUAUUGGAUUCAAGAUUUGGCAUUCAAGCUUUGGCUAGAAGUACAAGGAUCCUGGACUAUGUGGAAUAAAUGAUGUCUUGUUGGAUGGAGACUCCAUCUAGGGCUAGUCCAUGUAUCUGCAGCAAAUUUGCUGCUUCGUUUUGGCCCCUCAUCUGCUUCUUCCUUCCAAAGGAAGCAUCUUCAUCAGUUACAAAGGCAGUUAGGUGGUGUGAGAACAUAGGAACAUGCUGGACCCCAGUUUCCCAAAUCAGGAUGAGUGCUCCAUCAUGGUCCAGUUUAAUGGGUGACCACCCAUUGAUUUCCCCUAUAUUGUCUGAUGCUCACCUCCUAUUGUUGUAUGAGGCUUUCCUAGGACAGACUGGAUGAUGUAUCAUUGAGACACUGUCUACACGAUCAGAGAACUUGGAAUCUCACAGCCAGUCACUGGCCCCUUAAGGCUCAGUCUGGCCAUGUAAUCCCAACCCCUUCCUCCAAUCAGU